ACGGCUACCUUGUUACGACUUAGCCCCAGUCACCGGUUUUACCCUAGGGCGCUGCUUGCGCUCACGCACUUCAGGCACUCCCGGCUUCCAUGGCUUGACGGGCGGUGUGUACAAGGCCCGGGAACGUAUUCACCGCGCCGUGGCUGAUGCGCGAUUACUAGCGAAUCCAGCUUCAUGGAGUCGGGUUGCAGACUCCAAUCCGAACUGAGACAGGUUUUCGGGUUCCGCUCCUUGUCGCCAAGUGGCUUCCCGCUGUACCUGCCAUUGUAACACGUGUGUCGCCCCGGACGUAAGGGCCGUGCUGAUUUGACGUCAUCCCCGCCUUCCUCUCAGCUUGCGCCGGCAGUCUCCACAGAGUCCUCAGCUUCACCUGUUAGCAACUGUAGAUGGGGGUUGCGCUCGUUAUGGCACUUAAGCCGACACCUCACGGCACGAGCUGACGACAACCAUGCAGCACCUCGUCGGAAGUCCCGAGGGAAAUGCGGAUUUCUCCGCACGUCCUCCGACGUUUGAGCCCGGGUAAGGUUCCUCGCGUAUCAUCGAAUUAAACCACAUGUUCCUCCGCUUGUGCGGGCCCCCGUCAAUUCCUUUGAGUUUCACCGUUGCCGGCGUACUCCCCAGGUGGAAUGCUUAACGCUUUCGCUGUGUCACCCAGUC
rnacentral:rRNA from 1 species